CUUUAGUCGUGGGGGAGAAGCGGUUAUCCCUUUCUACAGAGGGAGAUGGAGGAACAGGCCCUGGUGGGUCUGAGCACAGGCAGUCACCCCAGCCUUGGUGCUUGCUUAGGUCUGUUCUCUGUUCACCGUAGCCGCGUCCACUCUCAUUGUCAGCUUAAAAAUAAGCUUUUUCCUCUUCCUAAUCAGAAGUUAGUUUGUGAAUCGUCACAUUAAGGUAUCGAGAAUGAUGGCUUUCAGGCCUCAGAUACGACACAAGUAGUAAAUGCAGCUGACCCUGAACAACAUGGGUUUUGAGCUUCGAAGGAUCACUUAUGUUAAUUUUUUUUCCAACCAAACCCUUACUGAAAAAACCUGGCUUUGUGGAGGGCCGAUGUUUCCUACAUGCGGUUCCACAGGGUGGCCGCGGGGUCCUGUGGAUACGUAGAUUUGGGUCAACUCGGGGCGUGUUCUGGAAUCCAUGUCCCUAUGUAUACAGAGGGACAACUGCAGCUUUUUAAAAGUUUGUGUCCUGCCUUGUCCUAAAAAGGCUCCAAGGUGGAUGCAAAAUUAUUUCAUUCUUUUGGUUUUCUUGGUGGGAUAUAGAUGUUUAUUCUUCAGUGUCUAAAAUCGUGAGUGAAAAGAGUUAGUGCUUCAGGAACAAAGACAGUCUGCAAACACAUAUUGAGAUAUCCACCUUUUGUUCAUGGUUUCACAAAAGGCCAUGGUCACAUUUUAUUCAGUUGAACCGUAAGAAACUGCCAAUAUUUGCUGUUUUUGGCGUACAAAAUGGCAAGUUCGUAUGAUAUUACAAACAAAGGCUUCCUGGAUGGGGAAAAUAGGAAUCGGUAAGAACCUGAAGUUGUCUGUCAUGGCCUCUGAGUCACAGGUAAAUAAACCUGCGUGAGGGGAAGUUGGCUGUGCAGCAUUUUCCUUCUGUUUUGAGACUGCCAGAAAAAGGUCACUUCCAUUGCGUUGGGUCCCUUUGCCUCACCUUUGCUGCAGAGGGGACUUCCCAUUAUACCUCUUGUUCCCAGUGCCCAGGAGGCUGAUGCCACAUAGAAGACCUGCAGGUCAGCAGAUGUGAAACAGGCAUCGGACACGCUGUGCACCUUGGGACGCAUCUGAGAAGUGCAUGCUUGCAGCAGAUCUGAGCACAAUUUCUCCCAGUGAAGUUGUGAGAAAUAGAAGGAAACGUGGAAUGAAGAUGUGAUUGAGGAAAGUGUGGUGUAGUCUUCGACCUUAUUUUGCCUUGGUUGGUGCUCAAGAACUCCACCUGACCUCAGAGCUGAGCGUUUCUGCCAGGAAGUCCUGCCUUUUAUCCCGCCUCGAGGCCUGUUGAGACACUCCAAGAAGCUUCGUUAACAAAUUGCCUUUUCCUUUUACAGCAGUUGGAUAUAUUUGCAGCAAAACAAAGGAAUAAACCCCCAAUAUGGUGAUUAAACGCAUAUUCUGUGUCCAAAAACUUACCCAUGGACAUUGAGGGUGAUGCAUUUCUGCUCCAAAACGUCUGUGGACUCAGCUGGAGGGAUGGAAAGGAUGUGGAGCCUCUUCACUCCUGGCCUGGGCUUGGACCGGCUGUGCAGCCUCUCAGUGGCACCAGGGCCCCCGUGUGUCACAGCGGCCUCGGGUUGGUGGCACUGCCCCAGGAUGUCCCAGGCUUCAUGAUGUCCAGGCUCCCUUGGCAUGGCGGCCUCAGAUUUCUUUGCAUCUUCUCCCUUAUCCAGAAGUGAGGGUGAACGCUGAGUUAUUCACGGGAGUCAAGAAACCACUCACAGCCCAAAGGGUUGUUUGUUUCCCUGAAAUGAUUUGUGUGUGUUCACCUUAAAAUGCAACUCAGAAAACAGGUGUGUUUUGAGGAAUGACUUUAAAUUACCCAGGUAAAAAUGUGACACUUAAAUUUCAUCGUCUGUGUGGGUGUCCACAGCCCCCUUCUGUGAUUGCGUGUGAGUUUGUGACUUGUGGUUAUUUUUGAAGAAAGAAAAUCUGUAGAGGACUAUCUGCUUUUACAACUGAGCAGGCCAU